rnacentral:tRNA from 1 species
GUCCCUGCAGCGCAAUGGAUAGCGCGUUGAAUUUCUGAUCCAGAGGUCGUGGGUUCGAUUCCCACCUGGGAUG